AGCGAACGCUGGCGGCAGGCCUAACACAUGCAAGUCGAACGAACCUUUCGUGAUUGGUGGCUGUUGGGGGUGUAACAUGUGGGAACGGUCCUGUAGGUUCGGAAUAACUCAUUGUAGCUGGUGCUAAUACCGAAUAUGCCCUUCUGGUGCAAGAUUUAUCGUAUUUAUGGCGGCCGGGGUCUGUCUAGCUAGUUGGGUGAGGUAAUGGCUCACUAGGGCGACGAUGAUUAGCUGGUCUGAGAGGAUGAUGAGCCACAUUGGGACUGAGACACGGCCGAAAAUAUUGCGGGAGGCAGCAGUGCGGAAUCCUGCGCAAUCGGCGAAAGCAUGAAGCAGUCAUGCCGCGUGAAUGAUUAAGUUGUUAGGAUUGUAAAAUUCUUUCACAGGCGACGAUACUGACGGUACCCGGAGAAGAAGCACCGGCUAACUUCGUG
rnacentral:rRNA from 1 species